rnacentral:tRNA from 1 species
GGUGAAUGGUUGCUCAACUUCGUGGACCAGUUGAAGUUAGACAUUAACACCGUUGGAUGCCAGCUCAGUG